rnacentral:tRNA from 1 species
GGAUUGGUGGUCUAAUGGCUACCACUUUUGCUUCGUAAGCAGAAGGUCAUGGGUUCAAUUCCAGGCCUGUCCC